rnacentral:rRNA from 1 species
GAUGAACGCUGGCGGCGUGCCUAAUACAUGCAAGUCGAGCGAACAGAUAAGGAGCUUGCUCCUUUGAAGUUAGCGGCGGACGGGUGAGUAACACGUGGGUAACCUACCUAUAAGACUGGGAUAACUUCGGGAAACCGGAGCUAAUACCGGAUAACAUUUAGAACCGCAUGGUUCUAAAGUGAAAGAUGGUUUUGCUAUCACUUAUAGAUGGACCCGCGCCGUAUUAGCUAGUUGGUAAGGUAACGGCUUACCAAGGCGACGAUACGUAGCCGACCUGAGAGGGUGAUCGGCCACACUGGAACUGAGACACGGUCCAGACUCCUACGGGAGGCAGCAGUAGGGAAUCUUCCGCAAUGGGCGAAAGCCUGACGGAGCAACGCCGCGUGAGUGAUGAAGGGUUUCGGCUCGUAAAACUCUGUUAUUAGGGAAGAACAAAUGUGUAAGUAACUGUGCACAUCUUGACGGUACCUAAUCAGAAAGCCACGGCUAACUACGUGCCAGCAGCCGCGGUAAUACGUAGGUGGCAAGCGUUAUCCGGAAUUAUUGGGCGUAAAGCGCGCGUAGGCGGUUUCUUAAGUCUGAUGUGAAAGCCCACGGCUCAACCGUGGAGGGUCAUUGGAAACUGGGAAACUUGAGUGCAGAAGAGGAAAGUGGAAUUCCAUGUGUAGCGGUGAAAUGCGCAGAGAUAUGGAGGAACACCCGUGGGCGAGGGCGACUUUCUGGUCUGUAACUGACGCUGAUGUGCGAAAGCGUGGGGAUCAAAACAGGAUUAGAUACCCUGGUAGUCCACGCCGUAAACGAUGAGUGCUAAGUGUUAGGGGGUUUCCGCCCCUUAGUGCUGCAGCUAACGCAUUAAGCACUCCGCCUGGGGAGUACGACCGCAAGGUUGAAACUCAAAGGAAUUGACGGGGACCCGCACAAGCGGUGGAGCAUGUGGUUUAAUUCGAAGCAACGCGAAGAACCUUACCAAAUCUUGACAUCCUUUGAAAACUCUAGAGAUAGAGCCUUCCCCUUCGGGGGACAAAGUGACAGGUGGUGCAUGGUUGUCGUCAGCUCGUGUCGUGAGAUGUUGGGUUAAGUCCCGCAACGAGCGCAACCCUUAAGCUUAGUUGCCAUCAUUAAGUUGGGCACUCUAGGUUGACUGCCGGUGACAAACCGGAGGAAGGUGGGGAUGACGUCAAAUCAUCAUGCCCCUUAUGAUUUGGGCUACACACGUGCUACAAUGGACAAUACAAAGGGCAGCUAAACCGCGAGGUCAUGCAAAUCCCAUAAAGUUGUUCUCAGUUCGGAUUGUAGUCUGCAACUCGACUACAUGAAGCUGGAAUCGCUAGUAAUCGUAGAUCAGCAUGCUACGGUGAAUACGUUCCCGGGUCU